rnacentral:lncRNA from 1 species
AAAAUAACUAAGAAAAGAGGCAUGGAUGCAGAAACCAGGGUUGAUUUGACACCCUCAGGCUGAGAGAGCAGCGUUGCUGCCCCACUGAACAGAGAAGGUGAAGCCGUCACCCCAGCGGACCUAGAGAACAGGGCAUAGAACCACUGCCUGUCAAGGGAAAUGUGGGCACAGAUAUAAUGGAAAGAAAAUCAUGCAAAGAUAGAGGCAAAGAUUGGAGUGAUGCUAUCCCAAGCCAAGACAAGCCUGCCCACCAGAAACUGGAAGAAGAAAGAAAGAAUCUUCUUUUGGAGGCUUCAGAAGGAGCAUGACCCUGCUAACAACUUGGUUUUGGAUGUUUAGGCUUCAGAAGUCAUAACCUUGGAAAUGUGACUUGCUUCCAGAAGGGAACAUAAUUUUGAUUGAAGCAUUUUUGACUUUUUGGAACCUGGACACCAAGUUAAAUAAAGAGUUAUUGAAAUCUCCAAUGACAUGCCAAAAACAAACUUCAAACUGGAUUCAAAGUCAAAGUACCUCCUCCAUCCCUCCACCUCUAAGUUUGGAUUCAUUACAAUGGAGAAGACUGUAAUGAAGGAAGAAACAUGGUUUGCUUCUUUUCCUCCUGCUCUGCCACCUUGCUAACCAUCGUUCCUGACCCAUACCCAUCACUAAGUUUGAAUUGGAGAAAUCGGGGAGAGAUGAACAGAAAAUUUUCAUCAUUGAUAUGUUGUGAGCUGGCAUUACUCUCUUAAAGCUGAGAAGGUGAUUUAAGCUAAUUCUCGCGUCAGUGUUUUUAUAGGGUCCUUGUGAUGGCAGCAGCAGCCUGCCUGGAGCGGCUGCUGCCAAGAUACCGGCUGCAGCUGGAAAGGUGCGGCUGAGCGGAAUGCUCCACGGAGCCAGCAGGAGCAAGGAGCAGGUGGGAGCCCCGCCCACCCAGGAGCAGUUGGAACUGCCCAAGUCGCAGUUGCAACCCUGGCCUCCCUGUGUUCUUGGGGGCCUGGAGUAGGCACAAGCCCCACCCUUCUGGGCACGGCUACAGCCACCCAAAUUGUGGCUGUGGACCUGGAUAUCUCUGCGCUCUCCGGGGCCUGGGAAGGCCCCCUCUGCCUGGGAAGGCUUGGAGGUGUCUGCUCCUGCUACCUGGCCUCUCCUCACACCCUGUGGCCUCUCCGAUCUAAGAGACAGGUUGAGGCCAAGUCCAGGUGCUGUUGUAGCCUGGCCGGGUGUGCACACACUCACUGCAGCACUGACAUGCCAGCCCCCUGCUGCCUCGCCCCCCAUCCAGACUUUGGGCACUGAGGAGCACAGGAGUGAGUCUGAGGGGGUGUUGAGAGCAGCUCUGCGCUGGCCUGCAGACGCCCCUUGGCACAAACAGCCUGGGCGCCAUGAAAGGAGGCAGGAGGUAGACAGGCCCCUGGGCAGAAGGAGGUGGGUCCCUGGUGAAACCCCACUUUCAAGAUGGGAGGGCCUGAGCCUAGGGGAGGGGCUGCCGAUCCCGCUGCGUGGAGUGGGAACUUGUGGUGCUUUUUCCAGGCCCGCCCAUGGCUGUCCAUGGACAGCCCUGGAGUCUGCCAGACUCCAGUGACCUGCCAACCAACAGGGAAGAACUGCCCAC